ACACUCCAGUAGGACUAUUUACCAGAGAGAACGGUCUACACUGAACAGACAGGUAAAAACAUGAAGGCUGUGAUUCUUGCUCUUCUGGUAUUGGCGGUUGUCAGUCAGGGGGAAGCCUUGAGGUGUUUUUGUAAAGGCACAAACAAGAUAUGUUCAAGCCCUAUUGAGACCUGUUCCGGACUUAAUCCAGUCUGUGCCAGCAUCCUCCUUCAAGCUGGACCCCAUGUCAGCUAUUUCAGGAGUUGCAUGAACGCAGCUGACUGCAGAAAGCUCGUUGGUUGGUCAAGUGUAUCUGGCUCCUGCUGCAGCCGUGAUCUCUGCAACUGAUGAAUGUACAUGCAAAAUGAAAAAUGAAUCAAGCAACGCAUCUUCCAGUAUUAGUAAUUAUUUUCUCUCAUGUGUUGUGUACUUUUGCAUUGUCAUAAUAAAGAUCAAUCAGUUGUAA